GACGUAGGAGGCGAGCGUUGUCCGGAUUCAUUGGGCGUAAAGAGCGCGCAGGCGGCUUGGUAAGUCGGAUGUGAAAUCCCGAGGCUCAACCUCGGGUCUGCAUCCGAUACUGCCCGGCUAGAGGUAGGUAGGGGAGAUCGGAAUUCCUGGUGUAGCGGUGAAAUGCGCAGAUAUCAGGAGGAACACCGGUGGCGAAGGCGGAUCUCUGGGCCUUACCUGACGCUCAGGCGCGAAAGCUAGGGGAGCGAAACGGAUUAGA
rnacentral:rRNA from 1 species